rnacentral:rRNA from 1 species
UACGUAGGUGGCAAGCGUUGUCCGGAUUUAUUGGGUUUAAAGGGUGCGUAGGCGGCCCUGUAAGUCAGUGCUGAAAUAUCCCGGCUUAACCGGGAGGGUGGCAUUGAUACUGCGGGGCUAGAGUACAGAUGAGGUAGGCGGAAUUGACGGUGUAGCGGUGAAAUGCUUAGAUAUCGUCAAGAACACCUAUAGCGAAGGCAGCUUACUAGGCUGUAACUGACGCUGAGGAGCGAAAGCAUGGGUAGCAAACAGG